GCCGGGCGUUGUGGCGGGCGCCUGUGGUCCCAGCUACUUGGGAGGCGGAGGCAAGAGACUCGCUUGAGCCCGGGAGUUGGAGGUUGCUGUGAGCUGUAAUGCCACGGCACUCUACCCAGGGGGACAGCUUGAGGCUCUGUCUCAAAAAAAAAAAAAAAAAAGAAAGUUUUGUUUGUUUUGAGACAGUCUAACUCUGUAGUCCUGGAUAGAGUGCCAUGGCAUCAUCAUACCUCACAGCAACCUCAAACUCUUGGGCUCAAGUGAUCCUCUUGC
rnacentral:sRNA from 1 species